AUUGAACGCUGGCGGCAUGCCUUACACAUGCAAGUCGAACGGCAGCGGACCUUCGGGUGCCGGCGAGUGGCGAACGGGUGAGUAAUAUAUCGGAACGUACCUUUCAGUGGGGGAUAACGUAGCGAAAGUUACGCUAAUACCGCAUAUUCUGUGAGCAGGAAAGCAGGGGAUCGCAAGACCUUGCGCUGAUUGAGCGGCCGAUAUCAGAUUAGCUAGUUGGUGAGGUAAAGGCUCACCAAGGCGACGAUCUGUAGCGGGUCUGAGAGGAUGAUCCGCCACACUGGAACUGAGACACGGUCCAGACUCCUACGGGAGGCAGCAGUGGGGAAUUUUGGACAAUGGGCGCAAGCCUGAUCCAGCCAUGCCGCGUGAGUGAAGAAGGCCUCGGUUGUAAAGCUCUUUCGGUCCGGGAGGAAAUACGCACAGGUUAAUACCCUGUGUGGAGUGACGGUACCGGAA
rnacentral:rRNA from 1 species